GUAGGGAAUCUUCCGCAAUGGACGAAAGUCUGACGGAGCAACGCCGCGUGAGUGAUGAAGGUUUUCGGAUCGUAAAGCUCUGUUGUUAGGGAAGAACAAGUGCCGUUCAAAUAGGGCGGCACCUUGACGGUACCUAACCAGAAAGCCACGGCUAACUACGUGCCAGCAGCCGCGGUAAUACGUAGGUGGCAAGCGUUGUCCGGAAUUAUUGGGCGUAAAGGGCUCGCAGGCGGUUUCUUAAGUCUGAUGUGAAAGCCCCCGGCUCAACCGGGGAGGGUCAUUGGAAACUGGGGAACUUGAGUGCAGAAGAGGAGAGUGGAAUUCCACGUGUAGCGGUGAAAUGCGUAGAGAUGUGGAGGAACACCAGUGGCGAAGGCGACUCUCUGGUCUGUAACUGACGCUGAGGAGCGAAAGCGUGGGGAGCGAACAGGAUUAGAUACCCUGGUAGUCCACGCCGUAAACGAUGAGUGCUAAGUGUUAGGGGGUUUCCGCCCCUUAGUGCUGCAGCUAACGCAUUAAGCACUCCGCCUGGGGAGUACGGUCGCAAGACUGAAACUCAAAGGAAUUGACGGGGGCCCGCACAAGCGGUGGAGCAUGUGGUUUAAUUCGAAGCAACGCGAAGAACCUUACCAGGUCUUGACAUCCUCUGACAAUCCUAGAGAUAGGACGUCCCCUUCGGGGGCAGAGUGACAGGUGGUGCAUGGUUGUCGUCAGCUCGUGUCGUGAGAUGUUGGGUUAAGUCCCGCAACGAGCGCAACCCUUGAUCUUAGUUGCCAGCAUUCAGUUGGGCACUCUAAGGUGACUGCCGGUGACAAACCGGAGGAAGGUGGGGAUGACGUCAAAUCAUCAUGCCCCUUAUGACCUGGGCUACACACGUGCUACAAUGGGCAGAACAAAGGGCAGCGAAACCGCGAGGUUAAGCCAAUCCCACAAAUCUGUUCUCAGUUCGGAUCGCAGUCUGCAACUCGACUGCGUGAAGCUGGAAUCGCUAGUAAUCGCGGAUCAGCAUGCCG
rnacentral:rRNA from 2 species